AUUCCGUCUCAAAAAAAAAAAAAAAUUACCUUCAGAUCAUGUGUAUAAGGGAUAGUAGACUGGUAAUAAUAAUGCCUAAUUUGUGAGAUUUCAGGAGCAACAAAA